rnacentral:rRNA from 1 species
UACGAGGGGGGCAAAUGUUGUUCGGAAUCACUGGGCGUAAAGGGUGCGUAGGUGGUUUUGUAAGUCAGUGGUGAAAGCCCGGAGCUUAACUCCGGAACUGCCAUUGAUACUGCUUAACUUGAAUCAACUUGAGGUGGAUGGAAUAUUACAUGUAGCGGUGAAAUGCUUAGAUAUGUAAUAGAACACCGAUUGCGAAGGCAGUUCACUAAGGUUGUAUUGACACUGAGGCACGAAAGCGUGGGGAUCAAACAGG